CAGAAGACAGUGCUGGUGAGAUUUGUGCUGGUCUUCUGGGAGGGCCUGCAGUGCCAGGACUGAGGCAAUCAUGACUGCCUUCAGCCCAUAAGGAACAAUUCCGUAUAUUGUAAGUGCUUAAUAAUACCAUAAACAGCAAAUAAAAACCUCAAAUGUGCAUGGCAACUGUGAGAUAAGGCACUGGGAAUGGAGCAGAGCACUUGUCAUCCAGGAGAGAAUGUGCGGAGAGAUGGUAGGAUGUAGGAACUUCCCAGGCACGUACUUACACAGGAAAUCUAUUUCUCCUGCAAUUUCUUUGCAUUCUAAGCAAAAUUGAAGAGAGACCUAAUGGAAUUUUCAACAUUGAUCACCAAAAAUAAUAACCAAGGAGAAAUCACUAUGUGGAUUUUGAGGUAGAGCUCAAAUGAAUUCAAGGAUUGAUGAUCGAUGUCGCCAUAACAAAACUCUCAUUCCCAUCUACUUAUGUCAACAAGGUUUUUCAGAGCUGGCAUCUACAAAAAUGAAAAAUAAAAAUGGAACUAGUACUAAAUCUGCCUCAAGCAACAAAAAGGGGAAAUUUGGACACAGACACAGACAUACACAAAAGGAAGACAAUGUGAAGAUGGCCAUGUGCGAUGGGAAGCAGAGACAGGGCUGAUGGUAAACCAGGGAACGUCAGGGAUUACUAGUCACCAUAGGAAGCUAUCAGAGGCGAGGAAGAAGUCUACCCUGAGUCCCAGAUGAAGCAAGACCCUGCCAACACCAUGAUUUUGGAUUUCUAGCCUCCUAAACUACA